UGAAAUCCUAUAAUCCCAGGGGGACCGCCAGUGGCGAAGGCGCUCCGCUGGAACGGGUCCGACGGUGAGGGACGAAGGCCAGGGGAGCAAACCGGAUUAGAUACCCGGGUAGUCCUGGCUGUAAAGGAUGCGGGCUAGGUGUCGGGCGAGCUUCGAGCUCGCCCGGUGCCGGAGGGAAGCCGUUAAGCCCGCCGCCUGGGGAGUACGGCCGCAAGGCUGAAACUUAAAGGAAUUGGCGGGGGAGCACUACAAGGGGUGGAGCGUGCGGUUUAAUUGGAUUCAACGCCGGGAACAAAAACCGGGGGCGACGGCAGGAUGAAGGCCAGGCUGAAGGUCUUGCCGGACACGCCGAGAGGAGGUGCAUGGCCGCCGUCAGCUCGUACCGUGAGGCGUCCACUUAAGUGUGGUAACGAGCGAGACCCGCGCCCCCAGUUGCCAGUCCUCCCCGUUGGGGAGGAGGCACUCUGGGGGGACCGCCGGCGAUAAGCCGGAGGAAGGAGCGGGCGACGGUAGGUCAGUAUGCCCCGAAACCCCCGGGCUACACGCGCGCUACAAUGGGCGGGACAAUGGGAACCGACCCCGAAAGGGGAAGGGAAUCCCCUAAACCCGCCCCCAGUUCUGGAUUGCGUACUGCAACUCGCCCGCAUGAAGCUGGAAUCCCUAGUACCCGCGUGUCAU
rnacentral:rRNA from 1 species